AAGCCUCACCUUGAAGCUUCCAAGAUUCUUAGAAUGCUGAGUGAUGUUGUUGCUGGAUCAUAUCAUUAACCAGAAAGCAACGUUAUCACACCAAACUGGGGAAAAAGAAAAAAAGAGUGAGUUCUUAUUACUGAAACAUGCUGGUCUUUUGCUGGAUUUGCUCAACGACAUACAUGAAAUCAUUUUAUUAGGAUGGUCAGUGUGAGGUUUUGGAUAGAA
rnacentral:lncRNA from 1 species